UACGUAGGGGGCAAGCGUUGUCCGGAUUUACUGGGCGUAAAGAGCGCGUAGGCGGAAGCUUAAGCGGUGCCUGAAAGCCCCCGGCUCAACCGGGGAGGGUGGUGCCGAACUGGGCUUCUUGAGGGCGAUAGAGGAGAGUGGAAUUCCGGGUGUAGCGGUGAAAUGCGUAGAGAUCCGGAGGAACACCAGUGGCGCAGGCGGCUCUCUGGGUCGGCCCUGACGCUGAGGCGCGAAAAGCGUGGGGAGCGAACGGG
rnacentral:rRNA from 1 species